rnacentral:tRNA from 1 species
GCCUGGGUGGCUCAGUAGGUUAAGCGUCUGACUUUGGCUCAGACCAUGAUCUCAGGGUUAGAGCCCUGCCUUGGGCU